rnacentral:pre_miRNA from 1 species
GUCACCUGGGGACCUUGUAAAAAUGCGGGUUCUGAUUCAGCAGGUCUGGGGCAGGGCUGAGAAUCUGCAUUUCUAACAAGCCUCCAGGUGCUGCUGA